rnacentral:rRNA from 1 species
GACGAACCGUGCAAACGUUGUUCGGAAUCACUGGGCUUAAAGGGCGCGUAGGCGGGCGGCCAAGUCCGGGGUGAAAUCUUUCGGCUCAACCGGAAAAUUGCCUUGGAUACUGGCUGUCUCGAGGGAGGUAGGGGCAUGUGGAACUUCCGGUGGAGCGGUGAAAUGCGUUGAUAUCGGAAGGAACGCCGGUGGCGAAAGCGACGUGCUGGACCUUCUCUGACGCUGAGGCGCGAAAGCUAGGGGAGCGAACGGG